UCCUAUUAGUUUGUUGGUAAGGUAACGGCUUACCAAGACUUCGAUAGGUAGGGGUCCUGAGAGGGAGAUCCCCCACACUGGUACUGAGACACGGACCAGACUCCUACGGGAGGCAGCAGUGAGGAAUAUUGGACAAUGGAGGCAACUCUGAUCCAGCCAUGCCGCGUGCAGGAAGACUGCCCUAUGGGUUGUAAACUGCUUUUAUAGAGGAAGAAACCUCCCUUCGUGAAGGGAAUUGACGGUACUCUACGAAUAAGGAUCGGCUAACUCCGUGCCAGCAGCCGCGGUAAUACGGAGGAUCCAAGCGUUAUCCGGAAUCAUUGGGUUUAAAGGGUCCGUAGGCGGACUAAUAAGUCAGUGGUGAAAGUCUGCAGCUCAACUGUAGAAUUGCCAUUGAUACUGUUAGUCUUGAGUCAUUAUGAAGUGGUUAGAAUGAGUGGUGUAGCGGUGAAAUGCAUAGAUAUCACUCAGAAUACCGAUUGCGAAGGCAGAUCACUAAUAAUGUACUGACGCUGAUGGACGAAAGCGUAGGUAGCGAACAGGAUUAGAUACCCUGGUAGUCUACGCCGUAAACGAUGGUUACUAGCUGUUUGGUCGAUUGAGACUGAGUGGCUAAGCGAAAGUGAUAAGUAACCCACCUGGGGAGUACGUUCGCAAGAAUGAAACUCAAAGGAAUUGACGGGGGCCCGCACAAGCGGUGGAGCAUGUGGUUUAAUUCGAUGAUACGCGAGGAACCUUACCAGGGCUUAAAUGUAGUCUGACAGAUUUGGAAACAGAUUUUUCUUCGGACAGAUUACAAGGUGCUGCAUGGUUGUCGUCAGCUCGUGCCGUGAGGUGUCAGGUUAAGUCCUAUAACGAGCGCAACCCCUGUGGUUAGUUGCCAGCGAGUCAAGUCGGGAACUCUAGCCAGACUGCCGGUGCAAACCGUGAGGAAGGUGGGGAUGACGUCAAAUCAUCACGGCCCUUACGUCCUGGGCCACACACGUGCUACAAUGGUAGGGACAGAGAGCAGCCACUUCGCGAGAAGGAGCGAAUCUUCAAACCCUAUCACAGUUCGGAUCGCAGUCUGCAACUCGACUGCGUGAAGCUGGAAUCGCUAGUAAUCGGAUAUCAGCCAUGAUCCGGUGAAUACGUUCCCGGGCCUUGUACACACCGCCCGUCAAGCCAUGGAAGCUGGGGGUACCU
rnacentral:rRNA from 1 species